rnacentral:sRNA from 1 species
GAAAGGAUCUUCAAGGAGCAGGAGCAGCUGCGCACGGGAGGCAUACCCCGUGGAGUGCGCUGUGCCCACCAAGCCCGGCCCCCAGGUCGCUGCCGCCCCCACCUGCACACGUGUAUGCUGCAUCCAGUACUCAGGAGAUGGGCAGUGGCUGGCCUGUGGGUUGGCCAACCAUCUGUCACUCGUUUUUGAUGCCAGCCUGACUGGGACACCUGCUGUGUUUUCAGGUCAUGACGGGGCAGUGAAUGCCGUGUGCUGGAGCCAGGACCGGAGGUGGCUGCUCUCUGCGGCCCGGGAUGGGACCCUGCGGGUGUGGUCGGCUCGUGGGGCAGAGCUCGCACUGCUUCUGAUAUAAACAGAAGAGCAAGUCCAAGCUGAUUUGCAGGCUCUCCACGACAGGUGCAGUAGACAUGACCAGUUUAUCGGCAGUCAACGACUUUUAUUCCCACAUCGUACUCGCAGCUGGCCGGAACAGGACCGUGGAAGUGUUCGACCUCAACGCCGGCUGCAGCGCAGCGGUGAUAGUGGAAGCCCACUCACGGCCUGUCCAUCAAAUCUGCCAAAAUAAAGGUUCAUCAUUUACAACCCAACAGCCUCAGGCUUAUAACCUUUUCCUGACCACGGCCGUUGGCGAUGGGAUGAGACUGUGGGACCUGAGAACCCUGAGGUGUGAGCGCCACUUUGAAGGGCAUCCAACCCGCGGCUAUCCAUGUGGAAUCGCUUUCAGUCCUUGUGGACGAUUCGCGGCUUGUGGGGCCGAGGACAGACACGCUUACGUAUAUGAAAUGGGCUCAAGCACGUUUUCUCACCGGCUGGCUGGGCACACAGACACCGUCACUGGAGUGGCCUUCAACCCAUCAGCGCCCCAGCUUGCCACAGCUACCUUGGAUGGUAAACUCCAGCUCUUUCUAGCUGAGUAACCACUGACCUGUGAGCUGGGUCCAGGAAUGCUGUGAGGAACAACUUAAAAGUAAGAAGUAGUGGUUCAACCAUCAGGGGGCCAGAAGCAGCAACUGUUUUUCAUACUUUGAGACUUGCUUCAGAUUUCCCCCUUAUGCAAGCUCCUCCCCCCUGUGUGUGCCAUGUCAGAGUUUUAUGUCUUUCUGCUCCUCAAAAGGGAUCCCCCUCAUUGGGAAAAUGGAAAUGGCGUCCAGUACUUCUGCACAGAAUUUGGUAAAGUUAAAACAGAAUAUCUUUCAAUAAAACAUAAUAUAGUAUUUGUUUGAUAAUUAGAGUUGGAAGAAAAAAGAGAAUUUCUUUUGGGCAGUGAAAAUAAAGCAGUUAACAGUC